rnacentral:rRNA from 1 species
GACGAACGCUGGCGGCGUGCUUAACACAUGCAAGUCGAACGGAAAGGCCUCUUUCGGGGGGUACUCGAGUGGCGAACGGGUGAGUAACACGUGAGUAACCUGCCCUUGACUUUGGGAUAACUUCAGGAAGCUGGGGCUAAUACCGGAUAGGAGCUCCUGCUGCAUGGUGGGGGUUGGAAAGUUUCGGCGGUUGGGGAUGGACUCGCGGCUUAUCAGCUUGUUGGUGGGGUAGUGGCUUACCAAGGCUUUGACGGGUAGCCGGCCUGAGAGGGUGACCGGCCACAUUGGGACUGAGAUACGGCCCAGACUCCUACGGGAGGCAGCAGUGGGGAAUAUUGCACAAUGGGUGGAAGCCUGAUGCAGCAACGCCGUGUGCGGGAUGACGGCCUUCGGGUUGUAAACCGCUUUCGCUCAUGACGAAGCUUUGUGUGACGGUAGUGGGUAAAGAAGCACCGGCUAACUACGU